GCCAGUAGCAUAUGCUUGUCUCAAAGAUUAAGCCAUGCAUGUAUAAGAUCACACCUUUAAACGGUGAAUCCGCGAAUGGCUCAUUAAAUCAGCUAUGGUUCCUUAGAUCUUACAUCCAUACUUGGAUAACUGUGGUAAUUCUAGAGCUAAUACACGCCACUUAAGCCCCGUCUCACGACGGGGUGGAUUUAUUAGAAUAAAACCAACCAGCCUCGGCUGUCGGUUUGAUGACUCUGGAUAACUAUUCUGAUGGCAAGGCCCCGAGCCUGCCACGUAUCUUUCAAAUGUCUGCCCUAUCAACUAUCGAUGGUAGGAUAUUUGCCUACCAUGGUUAUAACGGGUAACGGGGAAUCAGGGUUCGAUUCCGGAGAGGGAGCCUUAGAAACGGCUACCACAUCUAAGGAAGGCAGCAGGCGCGCAAAUUACCCACUCUCGGCAAGAGGAGGUAGUGACGAAAAAUAACAAUACGGGACUCAUUAAGAGGCCCCGUAAUUGGAAUGAGAACAAUCUAAAUCCUUUAACGAAUACGAAUGGAGGGCAAGUCUGGUGCCAGCAGCCGCGGUAACUCCAGCUCCAUUAGCAUAUAUUAAAGUUGCUGCAGUUAAAAAGCUCGUAGUUGGAUUUCAGGCAUGGUGCUAAUGGUCCGCCUUGGCGUGACUGUUAGUUAACCGCCUAAUGAGCUGUAUGUGGUCGCUUGUGCUCUUUAUUGAGUGCAUGUGAUACUCAGCACGUUUACUUUGAAAAAAUCAGAGUGUUCAAAGCAAGCCUUGUGCUUGAAUAGUGUUGCAUGGAAUAAUAAAAUAGGACUUCGCGUCUAUUUUGUUGGUUUUCGGUCACGAAGUAAUGAUUAAAAGAGACAAAUGGGGGCAUCUGUAUGGUGGCGUUAGAGGUGAAAUUCGAUGACCGCCGCCAGACAAUCUACUGCGAAAGCAUUUGCCAAAGAUGUUUUCAUUAAUCAAGAACGAAAGUCAGAGGUUCGAAGACGAUCAGAUACCGUCCUAGUUCUGACCAUAAACGAUGCCGAUUGACAAUCAGGGUUUUUUAUUUUUUUUGAACCCUGGCAGUCCCUGGGAAACCUUUAAAUCUACAGGUUCUGGGGGAAGUAUGGUUGCAAGGCUGAAACUUAAAGGAAUUGACGGAAGGGCACCACCAGGAGUGGAGCCUGCGGCUUAGUUUGACUCAACACGGGAAAACUCACCCGGCCCGAACACGGUAAGGAUUGACAGAUUGAUAGCUCUUUCUUGAUUCAGUGGGUGGUGGUGCAUGGCCGUUSUUAGUUGGUGGAGUGAUUUGUCUGGUUAAUUCCGAUAACGAACGAGACUCUAGCCUGCUAAAUAGUCAGCAAGCAUCUAUUACUUGACUGACUUCUUAGAGGGAUAGGCUACGUUUAGUGGCAAGAAAGUGAGCAAUAACAGGUCUGUGAUGCCCUUAGAUGUUCGGGGCCGCACGCGCGCUACACUGACAAUAGCAAUAAGAAGUCACCUAUGCUGAAAGGCCUGGGUAAUCUUACGAAAUAUUGUCAUGUCAGGGAUUGGGGCUUGUAAUUAUUCCCCAUGAACGAGGAAUUCCUAGUAAGCGUAAGUCAUCAACUUACGCUGAUUUCGUCCCUGCCCUUUGUACACACCGCCCGUCGCUACUACCGAUUGAAUGGUUUAGUGAGACUUUUGGAUUGAGGCCGGUUAGGUAGCUUGCUGCCUUUUCGGACUC
rnacentral:rRNA from 1 species